CCUACGGGUGGCAGCAGUGAGGAAUAUUGGUCAAUGGACGAGAGUCUGAACCAGCCAAGUAGCGUGAAGGAUGACUGCCCUAUGGGUUGUAAACUUCUUUUAUAUGGGAAUAAAAUGUUCCACGUGUGGGAUUUUGUAUGUACCCUAUGAAUAAGGAUCGGCUAACUCCGUGCCAGCAGCCGCGGUAAUACGGAGGAUCCGGGCGUUAUCCGGAUUUAUUGGGUUUAAAGGGAGCGUAGGCGGAUUGUUAAGUCGGCUGUGAAAGUUUGCGGCUCAACCGGAGAAUUGCAGUUGAAACUGGCGGUCUUGAGUACAGGAGAGGUAGGCGGAAUUCGUGGUGUAGCGGUGAAAUGCUUAGAUAUGACGAAGAACUCCGAUUGCGAAGGCAGUUCACUGGACUGCAACUGACGCUGAGGCUCGAAAGUGUGGGUAUCGAACAGGAUUAGAUACCCUUGUAGUC
rnacentral:rRNA from 1 species